rnacentral:rRNA from 1 species
GACAGAGGGUGCAAACGUUGCUCGGAAUUACUGGGCGUAAAGCGCGUGUAGGCGGGUUUUCAAGUCAGAUGUGAAAUCCCUGGGCUCAACCCAGGAACUGCAUUUGAAACUGAGAGCCUUGAGUGUCGGAGAGGAAAGCGGAAUUCCUGGUGUAGAGGUGAAAUUCGUAGAUAUCAGGAGGAACACCGGUGGCGAAGGCGGCUUUCUGGACGAUAACUGACGCUGAGACGCGAAAGCGUGGGGAGCAAACAGGAUUAGAACCACC